UACGUAGGUGGCAAGCGUUAUCCGGAAUUAUUGGGCGUAAAGCGUGCGCAGGCGGUUUCUUAAGUCUGACGUGAAAGCCCACGGCUCAACCGUGGAGGGUCAUUGGAAACUGGGGAACUUGAGUGCAGAAGAGAAAAGCGGAAUUCCACGUGUAGCGGUGAAAUGCGUAGAGAUGUGGAGGAACACCGGUGGCGAAGGCGGCGGCCUGGUCCAUUACUGACGCUGAGGCGCGACAGCGUGGGGAGCAAACAGG
rnacentral:rRNA from 1 species